AGCGAACGCUGGCGGCGUGGCUAAGACAUGCAAGUCGAACGGACUGAAAAGUCAGUGGCGGAAGGGUGAGUAAUGUAUGGGUAACCUGCCCCGGACAUCGGGAUAGCCGGAAGAAAUUCCGGGUAAUACCGAAUAACGUCCUCGGGUGGCAUCAUCAGAGGACCAAAGGUCCGCUGGUUCGGGAGGGGCCCAUAUCCUAUCAGCUAGUUGGCGGGGUAACGGCCCACCAAAGCUGCGACGGGGUAGCCGGACUGAGAGGUUGACCGGCCACAUCGGGACUGAGACACUGCCCGGACUCCUACGGGGGGCUGCAGUAACGAAUCUUCCGCAAUGGGCGCAAGCCUGACGGAGCGACGCCGC
rnacentral:rRNA from 1 species